rnacentral:rRNA from 1 species
UACCAGGCACCCCGAGUGGUCGGGACGAUUAUUGGGCCUAAAGCAUCCGUAGCCGGUUUUACAAGUCCUCCGUUAAAUCCCAACUGCGUUAAACAGAUGGGCCGCGGAGGAUACUAUAAGGACUAGGAGGCAGGAGAGGCAAGCGGUACUCAGUGGGUAGGGGUAAAAUCCGUUGAUCCAUUGAAGACCACCAGUGGCGAAGGCGGCGUUGCCCAGAAU